GAUGAACGCUGGCGGCGUGCCUAAUACAUGCAAGUCGAGCGAACAGACGAGGAGCUUGCUCCUCUGACGUUAGCGGCGGACGGGUGAGUAACACGUGGAUAACCUACCUAUAAGACUGGGAUAACUUCGGGAAACCGGAGCUAAUACCGGAGAAUAUAUUGAACCGCAUGGUUCAAUAGUGAAAGACGGUUUUGCUGUCACUUAUAGAUGGUUCCGCGCCGCAUUAGCUAGUUGGUAAGGUAACGGCUUACCAAGGCAACGAUGCGUAGCCGACCUGAGAGGGUGAUCGGCCACACUGGAACUGAGACACGGUCCAGACUCCUACGGGAGGCAGCAGUAGGGAAUCUUCCGCAAUGGGCGAAAGCCUGACGGAGCAACGCCGCGUGAGUGAUGAAGGUCUUCGGAUCGUAAAACUCUGUUAUUAGGGAAGAACAAAUGUGUAAGUAACUAUGCACGUCUUGACGGUACCUAAUCAGAAAGCAACGGCUAACUACGUG
rnacentral:rRNA from 1 species